UGUAAAGCAUUAAUACAUAUUGAAUUAUAAAAAAAUAAACAUCGAUACAAUUACAAUUUAAAAAUUGCGCCCUCUACUGUACCGUGAACUAACUCGUGUGAACUCCGUGCAUCUUCUUUGUUCAUCGUAACAGAUAAACGUGUGUCCCAUUUUAUCUCAGAUUCUCAUCGUUUUCGUAAAGCCAAGCGAAUGCUACCCGCUCUUUAUUUUAUGAGAAUAGGUACCGGAUUUUCCUCUGAUGGUGAAUUUGGUUUUGAUUUCGAGAAAAAAGGUAAGAAAAGAGGUCCUAAACCAAAAUCCAGUGAGGCUGGUGAAAGCAAAACGAUGAAAUUCGAUUUGGAUCUAACAGCUGAUAAAAGUAAGCAGAUAAUCCCAGAUUUUAAGGUUAAAAUUAGUCAAAUCGAAACAAUAGAAAUUCAGGAGUUUCAGACAAAUUCCUACGUCUGUCACAAAAUCCAAGGGAUGGUAUCAACCUAAUAAGUAUAUCAACGUGAAAGAUUUUAACAACUGUAAACGAGCAUUCGACGCAAUUGGACAGCAUUUGGAGGAAUAUAUUAAAUUUUAAUUAUGUUUGAAAAAGAAGUUCUACAUUUAAUAGUAUGUUUUUUAUCGUAUAAGUAUAUAGAAAAAUUUAUUGUGUGGUGAUAUUUUAUUGUAUAGCACUUUUUUAGUUACGAUUUAAAAGUAUAUGGUUUAAUGAUUUUAUCGUAUAACGUAUACUUUAAAUUUAUGGUUUUUAUAAACAAAAUAUAUGGUUUUUCACAUUCGUAUUAAGAAAAAAAGCCUUCAAAUGGUAUGUUAGAACUUAGAGCAGUAAUU